rnacentral:misc_RNA from 1 species
GAAAACCCAGAAAUAAAAGAAGACGGAGCCAUAAUAUAUCAUAGCACCUCCUCGAGAGAGUGAUUGCAUUCCGUUCUUGCAAAUAUUACUACGUGAGACAGCCAUGACCUCAGGUAUAUCAAAUGCAGACAUAAGAUAUUUGAUACAGGCUGGAUAUAGGCCAUAUGUCCAUUCUUCUAAUCGGGCACGAAGACCAGUCGGAU